GAGUAUGAAGUGAACCAAAGAAAAUACUAUACAAUUACACAUCACAGUAUACAUUAUAAUCAUUACAGGAUUAGCUGUUACAAUGCAGUCAUUGGCAAAAAAUUUACCUGGUCAAGUGAUAUGCUUUCAAUACUAUUUUGGUGAAGUGGCAGACUAUUCAUUUGAGGAAUUACGCGAUUACUUUGCCAAAUACAUACUAGAAAAUUUCAAUUCGAACCGGGAAUUCUGCUUAAUUGGUCACAGUUUGGGUGGAUUGAUAGCUUUAGAAGCGGCCAACAUUUUAGAAGAACAGGGGAAAAAAGGAUAUGUGUACUUGAUAGAAUCUUCUCCGACAUAUUUCCAAAAAAGGCAAACUAGAGAAGACAAUUUCUAUGAUGAAGAGAUGCAAAUCAGAGUCUGUUCCCUUACAAUGUCAGUAUUUUUACCAACAACUCCAAGAGAAGAAUUCAUUGGAUUGAUAAAAAAGACAAUUGGUUGGCCGUUGAAGAAAAAAUUAUGCCUAUCUUUACUAUCAUCAGGAAUGAAAAAUAAAAACGCACUGGAUGUGCUGCUCGACAGAAUUUACAAUGCAACCAAAGCAUUACGCACUUACCAAAUUUCUCGAGUAUCACUUAAAUCAUAUGGUAUUCUAAUACGAUGUGUGGAGAAUCCACUUGACACUGAUAACGCUUAUGGCUUCUCAGAGUACUUCAAGCAUCCCAUACAAAUUCAUAAAAUUGAUGCUGGUCACACUACAAUUUUGCAUCAUCCAAAAACUUUGGAAAUUUUGUUGGAAUGCUCAUUAUGGAAGAAUUGACCAGCAAUUAUUUGCGGACUUUUAUGAGAGAAUCGUAGUAAGAAAUUAUUCGCCUACAAUAUUAUUGAAUAUUGUUACACAAUUUGCAUGAGAAUAAUAAUUCUGGAACUCAAAUUAUCACCUACUCAAAUGGACUGUUGGAUUUUUAGAAAUCGACAGUGCUUAGUAAAAAUUUACUACUUAUUAUUUAAGCCUCAUUCAAGUACUGAAUAUGUAUGUGAUUUAAGCACCUUCAAAUAUGAAUAAAGAAUGAUUUA